AUUGAACGCUGGCGGCAUGCCUUACACAUGCAAGUCGAACGGUAACAGGUUAAGCUGACGAGUGGCGAACGGGUGAGUAAUAUAUCGGAACGUGCCCAGUCGUGGGGGAUAACUGCUCGAAAGAGCAGCUAAUACCGCAUACGACCUGAGGGUGAAAGCGGGGGAUCGCAAGACCUCGCGCGAUUGGAGCGGCCGAUAUCAGAUUAGGUAGUUGGUGGGGUAAAGGCCCACCAAGCCAACGAUCUGUAGCUGGUCUGAGAGGACGACCAGCCACACUGGGAAUGAGACAAGGCCCAGACUCAUACGGGAGGCAGCAGUGGGGAAUUUUGGACAAUGGGCGCAAGCCUGAUCCAGCCAUGCCGCGUGCGGGAAGAAGGCCUUCGGGUUGUAAACCGCUUUUGUCAGGGAAGAAAAGGUUCUGGUUAAUACCUGGGACUCAUGACGGUACCUGAAGAAUAAGCACCGGCUAACUACGUGCCAGCAGCCGCAGUAA
rnacentral:rRNA from 1 species